UCGGUGACACAACGGUGUUUGAGUUAUAUGUGUGUUUCAGUAUAUUUACAGUGUUUAUUUUAUUAAUAGGUCUAAAUGUAGGUGAUCAGUGUAUUACGUUGACCUUGACCUGUCGUGGUGGCCAUUUUUUGGGCCGGAUAUUGCGUGCCUUGUUUAGGAGCACUGUCAUUGAUUCAUUCAUUGAUUCAUCAUUGAUUGAUCACAUUACACUACAACUGUGAAUAAAAGGUGAAAA